GGCCAUGGGGUCCUGGAACGACAGUCUCGUGGACAUGCGCAUAGUCCUCCACGUCCACGGCUUCGCUUUUGGCGGCCAUCUUCUUCUUUCUCUUCUUGAUGCAGCAAAACAGUGCCGCCGCGAGGAAUGCGAGGAGGAGAAGGCCGCCGAGGGAGGCGAACACGACGAUGAUAACGGUGUGGUUUGGGCUUGGUGGCGGAGGCGCCAGUGGUGGAGGACGGACGGGUGCCGGAGGCGGCUGCAGCGGUGGCAGCUUCGGCGGAGGCGGGACCAUCUUUCUUGGCGGUGGUGGUGGCGCUUGCUUCGGAGGUGGGGGUGGCGGGGGGCUGCGGCGAGUUGGUGGCGGUGGCGCUUUCUUCGGAGGUGGGGGUGGCGGUGGUCUACGGCGAGGUGGUGGCGGUGGUGCUUGCUUCGAAGGUGAGGGUGGUGGGGGGCUCCGGCGAUUCGGUGGCGGUGGUAUGGUCGGGGAAACCUUUGGAGGAGGUGGCGCAAAUGGAC
rnacentral:lncRNA from 1 species